rnacentral:rRNA from 1 species
GCCUACGGGAGGCAGCAGUAGGGAAUCUUCCACAAUGGGCGAAAGCCUGAUGGAGCAACGCCGCGUGGGUGAAGAAGGUCUUCGGAUCGUAAAACCCUGUUGUUAGAGAAGAAAGUGCGUGAGAGUAACUGUUCACGUUUCGACGGUAUCUAACCAGAAAGCCACGGCUAACUACGUGCCAGCAGCCGCGGUAAUACGUAGGUGGCAAGCGUUAUCCGGAUUUAUUGGGCGUAAAGGGAACGCAGGCGGUGUUUUAAGUCUGAUGUGAAAGUGUUCGGUUUAAUCGGAGUAGUGAAUUGGAAAUU